AGUGAACGCUGGCGGUAGGCCUAACACAUGCAAGUCGAACGGCAGCACAGUAAGAGCUUGCUCUUACGGGUGGCGAGUGGCGGACGGGUGAGGAAUACAUCGGAAUCUACUUUUUCGUGGGGGAUAACGUAGGGAAACUUACGCUAAUACCGCAUACGACCUACGGGUGAAAGCAGGGGAUCUUCGGACCUUGCGCGAUUGAGUGAGCCGAUGUCGGAUUAGCUAGUUGGCGGGGUAAAGGCCCACCAAGGCGACGAUCCGUAGCUGGUCUGAGAGGAUGAUCAGCCACACUGGAACUGAGACACGGUCCAGACUCCUACGGGAGGCAGCAGUGGGGAAUAUUGGACAAUGGGCGCAAGCCUGAUCCAGCCAUACCGCGUGGGUGGAGAAGGCCUUCGGGUUGUAAAGCCCUUUUGUUGGGAAAGAAAAGCAGCAGGUUAAUACCCCGCUGUUCUGACGGUACCCAAAGAAUAAGCACCGGCUAACUUCGUG
rnacentral:rRNA from 1 species